GCUGGGCAUGGUGAUGUGUGCCUGUAGUCCCAGCUACUUGGGAGGCUGAGGUAGGAGGAUUGUUCGAGCCCAGGAGUUUGAGGCGGCAGUGAGUCAUGAUCACGCCACUGCACUCCAGCCUGGGCAACAGAAUGAGACCUUGUCUCUA
ensembl:misc_RNA Metazoa_SRP Metazoan signal recognition particle RNA